UACGGAGGGGGCUAGCGUUGUUCGGAAUUACUGGGCGUAAAGCGCACGUAGGCGGCUUUGUAAGUUAGAGGUGAAAGCCCGGAGCUCAACUCCGGAAUAGCCUUUAAGACUGCAUCGCUAGAACGUUGGAGAGGUAAGUGGAAUUCCGAGUGUAGAGGUGAAAUUCGUAGAUAUUCGGGAGAACACCAGUGGCGAAGGCGACUUACUGGACAACUGUUGACGCUGAGGUGCGAAAGCGUGGGGAGCAAACAGG
rnacentral:rRNA from 1 species